rnacentral:rRNA from 1 species
UACGUAGGGGGCGAGCGUUGUCCGGAAUUAUUGGGCGUAAAGAGCGUGUAGGCGGUCCGGUAAGUCCGCUGUGAAAGUCCAGGGCUCAACCCUGGAAUGCCGGUGGAUACUGUCGGGCUAGAGUCCGGAAGGGGCGAGUGGAAUUCCUGGUGUAGCGGUGAAAUGCGCAGAUAUCAGGAGGAACACCAAUUGCGAAGGCAGCUCGCUGGGACGUUACUGACGCUGAGACGCGAAAGCGUGGGGAGCAAACAGGAU